GUCCUCGUAGCUUACACCAAAGCA
rnacentral:tRNA from 1 species